GCAGAUGAUUUUUGAGGGCAGAUAGCUUGCAGCAACCCUGACCAGAAGAAAUGAUGAUCCUCUUGCUGUUGAACUUUGCCAUCAGUGUUCCUCUACUUUUGGGAAGGGAAGUCACGCAGACACCUGCUGAAAUCAUCGAGACUCUAGGCAGCUCGGCCCAAAUUAAGUGUUUAAACAACAAAUCGGGCUACAACCAGUUGCUGUGGUAUCGGCAUCGCGGCAUGAACAUGGAGUUCCUCGGGUACAAGUACUCCAGCAACCCAGCUGUGAUAGAACCUGACCAGGAUGUGAAGCUGGAUGGCAAUGCAGAAUACGGCAAAACUUGCACGAUGACCAUCCACAAUUUGCGUCUGGACAGCAGCGCUGUUUAUUACUGUGCAGCAAGCUACCACGGUGCAGUGUCAUACUAAAUCAUCAAGUCAUGAACCUUAUCAAACACAAAGAUACCUAUUGCAAACCUCCGUGCACAACUAAUACCACUAUGCACCUGGAUCCAACCAUUCCAAGCACAGUUAUCAAGACUGGAGCUUCAUCCGGUGGUUGUUAAACAGCUGGCAGACAAGUGAAUUUAUUAAAGACAUUAAGCACAUUAGGGACAUUCAGACAAAAGUUUUUCUUGAUGUUUAACUACUUAAACACGUUGCCAAAAGGGUUAGCGCCCCUCUGUUAAACCUACCGCAGUACAAUGUCCUUACUGUUAAAAGGGAAAUCGGUUGCAUUCUGGGGUUGCUUUGCUGGCGCUUGGUGUCUUCAAUGUGUAGAAAUUUCAUAUAAUUACGUAUAAUCAUAAUUUAUUGCUGGUCUACUACUGUGUUCAAGCUUAUUCACGACAUACACGACACACAACAUAGGAAUUUAUUGUUUACUCUUUUCCGCAUGAUAGCAUUUUCCCACCGUGUAUGGCCUCUGGGUCAGCCUAGGGGGAUGAUAUUAAUUUAUCCAUUUUUAUAAGGACAAUAAAUGCUCUGACCCAGUGGUCAUUCCAGGCUGUUCCCCAGGAGAAAAAGCCGUUUUUCUCCAAAACGCACAUUUGAUUGGCGAAUAAAUGAUGACUUAACCCCCCCCACACACACACAGACAAUAAAUAUUAAGGAUAGUAGAUUUUUUUCCCCAACCAGCAGCAGCCACUGUAAGAAAUGUAAAAAGACAUCAAUGUUGUGGAAGUGGGGAACACACCACUAACUUUGCUAAUGAAGGGCCGACCUGCAUCAGAGUUAGCGUAACCUGUGAACUUGCUAACCUGCAAAACUCGAGUAGGUAACUGCUUAGAGAGAAGUGUCCUCCUGUAUGUGUUUUCUACUGUUAACAUUAAUUAAACUGUGAGAAAUGUAGUGAACCGAAUUUUACCCCCUUCUCCCUAAUCUUAAUUUUUAUUUUAUUCAUGUGGUCUUAAAGCAGCCCACAGGCCCUUUCAUUUUUUUGGUGAGUUUGGCUUUGCUUGUGGACAAAAGCAGUAGUGUUUUACCUGAAGGACUUCUUCAUUUUUAUUUAUUUAUUUUUAUUCCCCGACAAAGAAGUUUUUUUCAUUUAUAUUUGAUUUCUUUAUUGAGACAAUGUUGAGUGGUCUGAAGAAAUGUUUAUUUUUUUGGAUGGUUGUUCCGAUCAUGUUUUUUUGCUCCCGAGCCGAUCCCGAUCGUUUUAGUUUGAGUAUCUGCCGAUCCCGAUAUUUCCCGAUCCGAUUGCUUUUUUUCUGCUCCCGAUUCAAUUCCAAUCAUUCCCGAUAAUUUUUCCCGAGCAAAUACAUUUUGGCAAUGCAUUAAGAAAAAAAAGAAUAGAACUCGGACGAACAUAUACAUUCAACAUACAGUACAUAAGUACUGUAUUUGUAUUAUGACAAUAAAUCCUCAAGAUGGCAUUUACAUUAUUAACAUU